UACGGAAGGCAGCAGUGGGGAAUAUUGCACAAUGGGCGCAAGCCUGAUGCAGCCAUGCCGCGUGUAUGAAGAAGGCCUUCGGGUUGUAAAGUACUUUCAGUCGUGAGGAAGGUGUUAAGGUUAAUAACCUUAGCAAUUGACGUUAGCGACAGAAGAAGCACCGGCUAACUCCGUGCCAGCAGCCGCGGUAAUACGGAGGGUGCGAGCGUUAAUCGGAAUUACUGGGCGUAAAGGGCACGCAGGCGGUUAAUUAAGUUGGAUGUGAAAUCCCCGGGCUUAACCUGGGAAUGGCAUUCAAGACUGGUUAGCUAGAGUCUUGUAGAGGGGGUAGAAUUCCAUGUGUAGCGGUGAAAUGCGUAGAGAUGUGGAGGAAUGCCGGUGGCGAAGGCGGCCCCUGGGACAAAGACUGACGCUCAUGUGCGAAAGCGUGGGGAGCGAAACAGGGAUUAGAUACC
rnacentral:rRNA from 1 species